CAGAAAUCUGCAGGAUGGCUUCUGACCAUGGAGAGUGGUUUGGCACAAAACCUGCUGAUGARGAAAUUCAAGAGAUCUGUGAUCAGGUGAGGAGCCAAGUGGAGGAAGAAACACAAAAGAAUCACAAGGAAUUCAAAGCAAUUGUGUACAGAGUGGGAGGUUGGAGGCAUUUGUGUGGAGUAUCCUACUUUUUGAUAAAGGUUAAGAUAGAAGAAAACAAUUACCUCCAUCUGCAGCUACGUAGAGUCUCUUGUCCAGGACUGCCCGUCUAUCUGACAGCAUGGCAAGGAAAC